rnacentral:rRNA from 2 species
UGCGGCGUGCCUAAUACAUGCAAGUCGAACGAACUCUGGUAUUGAUUGGUGCUUGCAUCAUGAUUUACAUUUGAGUGAGUGGCGAACUGGUGAGUAACACGUGGGAAACCUGCCCAGAAGCGGGGGAUAACACCUGGAAACAGAUGCUAAUACCGCAUAACAACUUGGACCGCAUGGUCCGAGUUUGAAAGAUGGCUUCGGCUAUCACUUUUGGAUGGUCCCGCGGCGUAUUAGCUAGAUGGUGGGGUAACGGCUCACCAUGGCAAUGAUACGUAGCCGACCUGAGAGGGUAAUCGGCCACAUUGGGACUGAGACACGGCCCAAACUCCUACGGGAGGCAGCAGUAGGGAAUCUUCCACAAUGGACGAAAGUCUGAUGGAGCAACGCCGCGUGAGUGAAGAAGGGUUUCGGCUCGUAAAACUCUGUUGUUAAAGAAGAACAUAUCUGAGAGUAACUGUUCAGGUAUUGACGGUAUUUAACCAGAAAGCCACGGCUAACUACGUGCCAGCAGCCGCGGUAAUACGUAGGUGGCAAGCGUUGUCCGGAUUUAUUGGGCGUAAAGCGAGCGCAGGCGGUUUUUUAAGUCUGAUGUGAAAGCCUUCGGCUCAACCGAAGAAGUGCAUCGGAAACUGGGAAACUUGAGUGCAGAAGAGGACAGUGGAACUCCAUGUGUAGCGGUGAAAUGCGUAGAUAUAUGGAAGAACACCAGUGGCGAAGGCGGCUGUCUGGUCUGUAACUGACGCUGAGGCUCGAAAGUAUGGGUAGCAAACAGGAUUAGAUACCCUGGUAGUCCAUACCGUAAACGAUGAAUGCUAAGUGUUGGAGGGUUUCCGCCCUUCAGUGCUGCAGCUAACGCAUUAAGCAUUCCGCCUGGGGAGUACGGCCGCAAGGCUGAAACUCAAAGGAAUUGACGGGGGCCCGCACAAGCGGUGGAGCAUGUGGUUUAAUUCGAAGCUACGCGAAGAACCUUACCAGGUCUUGACAUACUAUGCAAAUCUAAGAGAUUAGACGUUCCCUUCGGGGACAUGGAUACAGGUGGUGCAUGGUUGUCGUCAGCUCGUGUCGUGAGAUGUUGGGUUAAGUCCCGCAACGAGCGCAACCCUUAUUAUCAGUUGCCAGCAUUAAGUUGGGCACUCUGGUGAGACUGCCGGUGACAAACCGGAGGAAGGUGGGGAUGACGUCAAAUCAUCAUGCCCCUUAUGACCUGGGCUACACACGUGCUACAAUGGAUGGUACAACGAGUUGCGAACUCGCGAGAGUAAGCUAAUCUCUUAAAGCCAUUCUCAGUUCGGAUUGUAGGCUGCAACUCGCCUACAUGAAGUCGGAAUCGCUAGUAAUCGCGGAUCAGCAUGCCGCGGUGAAUACGUUCCCGGGCCUUGUACACACCGCCCGUCACACCAUGAGAGUUUGUAACACCCAAAGUCGGUGGGGUAACCUUUUAGGAACCAGCCGCCUAAGGUGGGACAGAUGAUUAGGGUGAAGUCGUAACAAGC